UACGUAGGGUGCAAGCGUUGUCCGGAAUUAUUGGGCGUAAAGAGCUCGUAGGCGGUUCGUCGCGUCGGCUGUGAAAACCCGGAGCUCAACUCCGGGCCUGCAGUCGAUACGGGCGGACUCGAGUUCGGCAGGGGAGACUGGAAUUCCUGGUGUAGCGGUGAAAUGCGUAGAUAUCAGGAGGAACACCGAUGGCGAAGGCAGGUCUCUGGGCUGACACUGACGCUCAUGCACGAAAGCGUGGGGAGCAAACAGG
rnacentral:rRNA from 1 species